rnacentral:rRNA from 1 species
UACAGAGGGUGCGAGCGUUAAUCGGAAUUACUGGGCGUAAAGCGUGCGUAGACGGUUAUUUAAGUCGGAUGUGAAAGCCCCCGGGCUCAACCUGGGAAUUGCAUUCGAGACUGAAUAGCUAGGGUGCGGUAGAGGGAAGCGGAAUUUCCGGUGUAGCGGUGAAAUGCGUAGAUAUCGGAAGGAACAUCAGUGGCGAAAGCGGCCAUCCUGGACCGGUAUUGACGCUGAGGCGCGAAAGCCAGGGAGCAAAGCGGG